rnacentral:rRNA from 1 species
GCCUGCAUGAAGUCGGAAUCGCUAGUAAUCGCGGAUCAGCACGCCGCGGUGAAUACGUUCCCGGGCCUUGUACACACCGCCCGUCACACCACGGAAGUUGGGAGUACCCAAAGUAGGUUGCCUAACCGCAAGGAGGGCGCUUCCUAAGGUAAGACCGAUGACUGGGGCUAAGUCGUAACAAGGUAUC